rnacentral:rRNA from 1 species
UACAGAGGAGGCAAGCGUUAUUCGGAAUUAUUGGGCGUAAAGGGCGCGUAGGCGGCCUGGCAAGUGGAUGGUGAAAUCCCUCGGCUUAACCGGGGAACUGCGUCUGAUACUGGAUGGCUUGAGUUCGGGAGAGGGAUGCGGAAUUCCAGGUGUAGCGGUGAAAUGCGUAGAUAUCUGGAGGAACACCGGUGGCGAAGGCGGCAUCCUGGACCGAUAUCGACGCUGAGGCGCGAAAGCCAGGGGAGCAAACGGG